rnacentral:rRNA from 1 species
AAUAGAUACCCCGGUAGUCCACGCCGUAAACGAUGAGUGCUAAGUGUUAGAGGGUUUCCGCCCUUUAGUGCUGCAGCUAACGCAUUAAGCACUCCGCCUGGGGAGUACGGCCGCAAGGCUGAAACUCAAAGGAAUUGACGGGGGCCCGCACAAGCGGUGGAGCAUGUGGUUUAAUUCGAAGCAACGCGAAGAACCUUACCAGGUCUUGACAUCUCCUGACAAUCCUAGAGAUAGGACGUUCCCCUUCGGGGGACAGGAUGACAGGUGGUGCAUGGUUGUCGUCAGCUCGUGUCGUGAGAUGUUGGGUUAAGUCCCGCAACGAGCGCAACCCUUGAUCUUAGUUGCCAGCAUUCAGUUGGGCACUCUAAGGUGACUGCCGGUGACAAACCGGAGGAAGGUGGGGAUGACGUCAAAUCAUCAUGCCCCUUAUGACCUGGGCUACACACGUGCUACAAUGGAUGGUACAAAGGGCUGCAAAACCGCGAGGUUAAGCCAAUCCCAUAAAACCCAUUCUCAGUUCGGAUUGCAGG